rnacentral:rRNA from 1 species
GUAGGCAGCAAGCGUUGUUCGGAAUUACUGGGCGUAAAGGGUGCGUAGGCGGCUUUUUAAGUUUGGUGUGAAAUCCCCCCGGCUCAACCGGGAGGGUGCGCCGAAUACUGAGAAGCUAGAGUGUGGGAGAGGAAAGUGGAAUUCCUGGUGUAGCGGUGAAAUGCGUAGAUAUCAGGAGGAACACCGGUGGUGUAAACGGCUUUCUGGACCAUAACUGACGCUGAGGCACGAAAGCGUGGGGAGCAAACAGGAUUAGAUACCCUGGUAGUCCACGCCCUAAACGAUGCGGACUGGACGUUGGGUUCAAUUUGGAACUCAGUGUCGAAGCUAACGCGUUAAGUCCGCCGCCUGGGGAGUACGCUCGCAAGAGUG